CUCACAUGUCUGAUCCCAUUUGUGGUCAGAUUCUUGGGGGACCAAUAGUGGUCAGAGAAGGCAGAAGAGAGCAGGCCUGCAUCUCUCAUGGUUCUUCCAGCCUCAGGAUCCCUCUUUAAUUUCCUUCAGGGGCAUUUCCCCUCAAUAACCUGACAUCUAAUUCCAUGUUGGCACCUGCUCCUCAGAGGGCCCAUUCUAAUCCAGUUAUGGUGAGUACCACUGAAAAAUCUUCAAUUCAUGCUCACAAGUCUCUCCUAUGGGAAGAGCUAAUGCCUCUUAUGAAUGUAAAUCCCUCAUGAAAUCUCUUUUCAAGACACUGCUCCCAGAUACUUGAGAAUAAGAGCCAUGUAACUGUCACAGCCUUCAAUACAUAGCUUAACAAUGCUUUCCCUUCCUUAUCCUAGAACAGAAUACAAGAGGGAAGUUCUAAUGCAGGUAUAAAUCUGAAGGACCAAGUCUCAGAAGUGUGCUAUAGGAAUUGAGUUAAAGACUCUUUAGGGGAUAUGGGCUCCAGAAGAGAAAGUCUUUAAGCUAGCUGGUUACUGCUUCUCCUGAAGAAGAGAGGCUACAGAUGAAAGGCUGAUGACAAAUGAAUGGGACUAUCCCCAUGUUGAGGAAUCAUUUGAGCAAGAGUGGGGAAGCGUCAACGGAUCUCUAUCACACUGAUAACUGCAGUUCCUAUGGAGUUUCCCUUAACUUCAUAUUAUGCUACUGAAAUAUACAGAAGUCAGUACUGAGUAUCUUGUAGCUUUUGAAAAAUAUGCUUGGAUUACUUCAUUGAAAAAGGCAAUUCUGCACUUGGAAAAGAGUACAGAUGAAUGUGGGGAAGAAAAGUUAUUUCCUUGCCACAAAAAAGACUUCAACUAUAGCAUGAAAUAUCCCUGACUAAUGUCAUUUCAGGAAGCAAGAAACAUCUCAUUUCUGAAAUCUAGUUGAGCAGUGUUUCUCUUUCACUCAGACCCAGAAACAAGAUGAAAUGGAAAAUUCUCCAGGCGAUUACAACACAAGUGCUCAACCUGAGGGUUUGAGCAUUGUUCUGCAAGCUCAUGAGGCAGAAGCUUACUUCCCAUUAAAAAGUCUGAUCCAACUGGCUCUUAAGUCUUAGACCUGGAGAACAGGAAAAUCACUGGUAGGCAUGAAUCAGCUUGCUGAGUCUUCAGGUAAAGCUAGAUUUACUUUAGAUUAGAUAUACUAAUAGAAUGACGUUGAAGGAAGUCCUGAAGGAAUGCCAGUAGAAUGCCUGAGGAGACUAAGGGACAGGGGCUGAGUUUCUGCUUCAGUUCAUGUUACCAAGUGGACACAAAAUGAGGCCUUAUGUAAGUGACUGACUAGCAGGAGCACUGGGAGAAGGUGGGGUAGAGGGAGAUGGCUGGCUUCUGAAAGCAACCAGAGACUCGGACCAGUCCCCACUCCUCCCAUCACCUCCCCCAUCCAUGGCCCUUCUACCAUGAACACUCCUAAAAUGCCAUCUGCCUGUAGUCAUUCCCUUUUUUCUUUUCAGUUGAGCUGAGGAGAUAAGGAAAGGACAAGAGGGUCGGGCAGGGAGGGGCUAUUUUGGAUAAGUAAGGACCUUCCCUAGGCCAGGGAGUCCUUUACUUCAGGAGAAUUGAAUCUGUUGUGUCCAUAUUUAGGCCUCUUUGAGGAACUUUAUAGGGCCCCUUACCAAGAAACCAGAGGCCAAGCCACUGGCUUGAUUAAACUUAAUUUUUACUACUUUUCUUGACCAAUAAAGGAUCUCAUGGAGAUUUUAUACCCCUUCCCAAUCAUACAAACAAGGAUUAACCCAUUCAAAUUAAGUUAGUUCUGAAGAUCAGAGAUCUCCAAAUGUUAUUUCACCAGGUGACAUAUCUAGGGUUCUCAUUUAGCAAGACUUAAACUUCAAGUUUCUUAGGCUCCUUAAGGCCUAACCCAGGAAAUCUGCAGAUAUCCCUUGGUCAAGUGUAAUAGACAAUGAUGUGCCACCCAGCUUCCCUUUAGUGAGAGAUUUGUUGCCUCCACCGUUGUCACCAACCAGCCUUUAGCUGUUGGCCUCUUUAGGGAUCCUCAUUCUCAAACUUCAGGGCCAUACAUCUUCUAGGGCAGCCCAAUGACUGACCAAUGAGGGGAUAAACAUGGUUAACAUGGCCCAAAUUAGGACAAAGCUGAAAGACCAUUCUAGAAACAAAGCUCCUGGAGGAGUUGGGCAAAAACUACUAUUGAAUCUGCAUCAUAGCUUGCUUUUUAUCUCUGUGCACUUCUUUUCACUCCCUUCCACAGGGCACACUUUACACAUCCUGCACAACCAACAUUUUGUACUGAGAGAGAUCCAAGAAAGUAGACACUAAGAUAAGAUCUUCGAGUUGCAGCACUUCUGUCUAUCUGGUAAUGAAGACCCCAUCCCUCAUGGUAGAUAAAGAACAGACAACCUCUGGUAGCAGUCUGAUCAUUAAAACUUACUGAUGGUGUAUUGGGAUGAUAUAUUGGUAAAAAGAAAUGUGCUAAGUGGCAUGACACACUAGGCAUUUGUGAAAUUUGUUCUAUUAACAUGUGUUCUGUAUGAUCCUAGGAGUAAAAGGCAGCAAGAGUACUCCAUCUGCACAAAUAAGAGAUGGACAAUCAGGAGACUAAGGGCAGUUUCCCCAAUAAAUAUUCAUAAUCUUUUGCCCUGUGUUUAGACUUGGAACCCAUUGACUGAAUGUGUCUUCCUUUCUGAGAGGAGGAACUCAGCAAAACCCUGGGAAGGGUGCAUGGUAAUGAUUCCCCCAGUCUCUUCUCCAAAAGAGACCUAUAGCCAUUUAUUCAGGUAAUUGUAGACCGGAAAAAGGGUAACCAACCAUUUGGAGAAUGUGUGACAUGACUUCUGGGUAACACUGAUAUCCAGCAAUCCAAAGAUUCAUUAUGGAUCCCCUGUCACAGUGGAUGUGUAGGAGGGCCAGGUAAUAAGUGGAUUCCUCACCAAUAUCCAGCUCUUAGUGGGUCCUCUGGUUUGGGGAUGCACCUGAUGAUCAUCCCUCUUGCCUUAAUGUCUAGUCAGAAUGGGUACACCUGUCUAUUCAGGGUCUUGGCCUAUGAAGCAAGAGGUGUAGUGGAGAAGGCCAAGGAGAAGCCUUUGGAACUUCCCCUUUCUCAGGAUAAGAUAGUAAAUAAAAAGAUUGUGUGCUUGAAGGGAUGGAGGAAGUUAGUGACACUUUCAAAAUGACCUAAAGGAUGCGGGGGUGGUGGUCCUCAUUAUAUUCUCACUUAAUUCACCAGUAUGAGACCUAAGAGUGAGUCUACCUCAAAUUCAAGUGUUAACCUCAAUUAAGCUGCCUUGUCAGAUGUGCUCUCUGCUAGAGAACAUCGACAGUCUCAGGGACACAGUAUCUAGCCUUUGACUUGGUGAAUGCUUUUCUACAGAAUCAGGAAAGGGGCUGAGGAACAGCCUACAUCAACGUGAAAUGGACACUACACACAUUUAUCAUUUAGCCCCAGGGCUAACUUCACUUUAAGGAGUCCUGAAGCAGUGCUGUAAGAGGAUGUUUAUGAUGAAAAUGUUCUCCAAUCUGCUAUACAAUUCAGUAGCCGCUAGCCACACAUGGCUAUUGAGCACUUGAGAUGUAGCAUGUUGGAGGGCCUUGUUAAGUCACGUGUUAUCCAGAGCAUGGGAGACAGACACUAUGAGGAAGAAAAUGCCCAAGUUUGAUUCAUGGGUGGAUCUACCCGGGAGUGCAAGUCAAAGAUGGAUGGCUGCUGCAUAACACUCCCACUGGAGGGUGACCUUCAAUGAUGGCAAGGGGGAAGUACUCCUAAGGGGUAUAAGUUUAGUUGGUGCACUUGAUUACCCAUUUUGCAUGGAAAAAGAUCUUCAUUUUGAGGUUUAAGUACACAUAUGUACUAGUGGACAGUGGCAAAUGGCUUGACUCCUGGUCAGAGGCCUGGAAGGAGAAAAACUGGAAACAAGUUGGUGUGGAGCUGAGGCACAUGGAUAGGCAUCUGGGAGUAGAACAAAGUAUCUUUAUAAUGCACGCUACCACUCAGCAGAGGGGAUCUAUCAGAAAAGAUCACUAGUCUAGUAGAUACUAUAUGAAGAUCCUGCAAUAUUUAGCAGUUUGGAAAUGGGCACCUCAUUUCACACCAGGACAGGCCAAAAGAACAAUGGCCAGAGGAUUAAGCUGGCUGCUAGCUACCAAAUUAGGCCUAAGGCCAUAUGAAAGUCCAUGACAUUGCUGUUAUGUCUAUGAAGUUUGGGGCACUAAGAAUUCUGUAGAAGACCCAGCUAGAAAACACAGGGGUAAUAAGUUCUCCACAGAUAUGAAUAAGCAGUACAGCUAUUUUCAAACUCAAACCUACUGUGUUAACCAGAAAGAAAACACAACCAGAUCUACAAAGUUACAUAGAAGCUAGUAUUAUAUUGCUCCCCACAGGCAGAAGGCCCGAGGUCCAGGAAAUAGAUCUCAUAGGAAACAGGCUCAGGAUAGAAAGGCCUUUAAAAGAUUUGAAAAGCCAUGACUAAAUGGAACUGUAGAGCUCCAGGAAGAGGCACCAGAGAAGGAAGAUGUGUAAUACAGAAGUCCAGUUCAUCAAAAUGUCUUGGCUUCUUUGAUUUCUGCUCAUCCUAAUAAGUUUGUUGAAAAGCUUGGGACACUUAACCCAGUCUUGAGACACAGGUCCAGAUGCACUAACAUCCAAGAUGAAAGAGAUACCUGCUGGAGUCCAGGCACCAAUUUCACUCAAGAUCAGAGGACAACCAGGUUUUCAUGUUAAGCCCUGCUAUGCCUCAUAAAAUAUCACUUUCCAACUGUUGGGAAGAUGGACAGGUGAAAGCCUUUAAUGCUCCUUGACCUUAAUGUCUGGCAUCUUGAGGGCAGGGAAUUUGUCAUUUGUUCCUUAGAAGUGCUAUUGUCUUAGUUCUAUUGUCCUGAAGUCAUUAGACCCAGGUAGAGUGGACACUAAGCUUUGCCCACUGGACUGUAGUGAGCAUUGUUCUAUAGCUUCAAGACACUAUUUCAAGGGUAAAUAGUGUCAUUUUCACUUUGAAUUUGGCGUUUGUUAAAAUGUAGCCUCUAUUCCUUCUCUUACUAGCCUUUUUUUCUAGGCCUCCUCACCUGAGCAGACAGGGGGAGACUGGCCACUCAUUUCUCAGCUCAAUCCCUGUCCUGGGUCCUUUCUACAUUCUAAUCCUAGUACCUUAUCUAUCCACUAUCAGUCAAUUUGUCAGUGAGGGCUCUAGUUAUCUUCACCAUUUUGAGUCAGAGUCUAUGUUCUCCAAUCUACCAUGUGAUGGUUAAUUUUCUAUGUCACCUUGACUGGGCCAUGGGGUACCCAGACAUUUGGUCAUACUUUCUGGGGGUGUCUGAGAGGGUGUAUCUGGAUGAGCUUAAUAUUCGAAUUGGUAGACUGAGCUGAGCAGACGCCCUCCCUAAGGCAGCUGGAUCUCAUCCAAUCAACUGGAGACCUGAAUAGAAAAAAAACGGUAAGAGAACUCCUUCUGUCCAACUCCUUUGAACCUGGACAUUGACCUUUUCCUGACUCUUGGCUCCAACUGAAAUAUCAGCUAAUUUUGGGUCUGGAGCCUGCUAGCUUUCUG
ensembl:lncRNA